GAGGAAACACAUGCCACAGAGUUGUCUUCAUCAGCCCAGGUCCCAGAAUGAGGAGGACACAGAGCAGACCUGUGGCCAACCUACAACGAACAUGGAGCACGAGUGAGACAUAAAUCUCUGCCUCUAUACUGUGGUAACUCCAGAGCCAACAGAGACGUUUCAAAACCCGAAAAGGCUUGAAGCUUUCGUAUGAUCUUUGGCCUCAUUCUCCAAACUCCAGCCAACUAAACUUCCUGGAGGUCAUCUGCCACUGCAUUUUCCACAACGCCAUAAAAGUUACAGCUGUUUAGAGCUGGCUGGAAC